CCUACGGGUGGCAGCAGUGAGGAAUAUUGGUCAAUGGGCGCGAGCCUGAACCAGACAAGUCGCGUGAGGGAAGACGGUCCUAUGGAUUGUAAACCUCUUUUGUCGGGGAGCAAAAGACGCCACGUGUGGCGUUCCGAGAGUACCCGAAGAAAAAGCAUCGGCUAACUCCGUGCCAGCAGCCGCGGGAAUACGGAGGAUGCGAGCGUUAUCCGGAUUUAUUGGGUUGAAAGGGUGCGCAGGCGGAAGAUCAAGUCAGCGGGAAAAUUGAGAGGCUCAACCUCUUCGAGCCGUUGAAACAUGUUUUCUGGAGUGAGCGAGAAGGAUGCGGAAUGCGUGGUGUAGCGGUGAAAUGCAUAGAUAUCACGCAGAACUACGAUUGCGAAGGCAGCAUACCGGCGCUCAACUGACGCUCAUGCACGAAAGUGUGGGUAUCGAACAGGAUUAGAUACCCCAGUAGUC
rnacentral:rRNA from 1 species